CCCUUAGCUAGCUGCCACGUUCUCAUGACCCUCUAGGAAGUGACAGGAAGAGAGAGACGGAAAGUCAGGAGGUCAGAGUCAUUUCCUAGCCUGUUAAAAAGGAAAGGAAAGUGGAAAAUAGAGAAAGCUCGGCAGCCGGAGGUCAGCCAAGCCCUCGGAUGCUGGGCUGUUGCGUUUAAAGUUUGGCCCAACUCUGAGACCCGGAGCUCUCACAUUCUGUUCCUUGGAGCAAGAGUCUUAGCCCCGAAACAUAAAUAAAGACCCUCUUCCUUCAAUCUGAAGACCGAGGGUAAAACAUUCUCUGUUUAGGACAUGAGAUCCUGGCGUUCAUCUUAAACUUUCAUCCCUCGGCCUCUGCCACUGCUUACCUCUGUAAGAAUCAAGGAUCCUGUGUGAUCUGCGAUUUAGCACAGGUCCCUGCUGCAUUUCCAGUACCCCAAACCCAGCCCAGAGCACACCCUCGGUCGGUGUUUGUGGAGAGGUUUGAAAUGACACGCCCCUGCUCCAGAGAAGCACCCAGUCUGCUGGAGGAGGUGGAGCAGAUACACACAGAAGCCUAGAAUAAGCUGGAACGUGGAAAAGGGCCCCUGGACAGAGACACGAUGUCAUGGGCUUCUGAGAAGGAGAAAACCACACAGGUUGGGGAAAGAGGAAUUCUUAGGGAAGGUGGCAGCUGAGAGGUUUACUCAGGUGGGGACAGGGGCCUCGUGACAGG
rnacentral:lncRNA from 1 species